GAUUUAGUGAUUAGAAUUUAGAGUUUAGUAUUUGAAAGGUGAGGGUUGAGUUUUGGGUUUAGUGAUAACAAUUUAGGGUUUAGUAUUUAAAAGUUGGGUCCGGGUCAGUCCUUCUAUACUAGUUAUAACGGUGCCAUACUAUGUCUUGUAGGUUGAGAAAAUUGCAUAUUAUAUAAAUUCUGUUUUGAGUUUAUAGUUCAGUUAUUUGGGUUUAAAUUUAGUAAUUAGAGGGUUUGUCUAGGGUUUAAUAUUUAAGUGGGUGGGUAGGGUUUAAUAUGUAUGUUCCAUACUAUGGUUGAUAAAUUUUGAAUAUGUUGUAAAACAGUUAUAGAUUAUAUUUGGUUUAUAGUUUAUUGAUUUGGGUAUAUAUUUACCAAUUAGGAGUUUGGGUGUAGUAUUUAGCGGUUGUAGGAUGGUUUAAUAUGUAAAAGUAAGAGGCUAGGUUGAGGUCCUGUACUACUUCACCAAUAUGGAAUAGAACACUCGUAACUUUUCAAACCAAGAAUGUGCAUUCAUGGUUGCUUCCAGGAUAACUUAGUAAUUAAGGGUUUGUCUUGGCACGUAGUAUACGUAAGCGGAUGUGCAAGGUUUAAUAUUUGCGGUCCAUACUAUCAAUGAUACAUUAAAAAUAAUAU
rnacentral:lncRNA from 1 species